rnacentral:rRNA from 1 species
GGGGGCUAGCGUUGUUCGGAUUUACUGGGCGUAAAGCGCACGUAGGCGGAUCGAUCAGUCAGGGGUGAAAUCCCAGGGCUCAACCCUGGAACUGCCUUUGAUACUGUCGAUCUGGAGUAUGGAAGAGGUGAGUGGAAUUCCGAGUGUAGAGGUGAAAUUCGUAGAUAUUCGGAGGAACACCAGUGGCGAAGGCGGCUCACUGGUCCAUUACUGACGCUGAGGUGCGAAAGCGUGGGGAGCAAACAGG